rnacentral:lncRNA from 1 species
AUGCCUCCCCAGACUGCAGCCUUGGUGCCCUGGGCCAGUACCUGUACUUCCACACCCAGGCUGGAGGUGGACCUGGCACCUGACUCGCUGCCCCGCACGUGUGUUGUGCAGAGCAUGGGUGAAGCAGAGGGGAUGUGUCCCUGUGGGGUGGAGGAGAGCCCGCUCACUGCCAGUUCUGCUCUCAGCCACCUGCACCGUCAGCUCCUCAGCUGUCCCGGGUCCACUCUCUCCUGGACUGCGGACCUCACGGCAGACGUUUUUAGCAAUGGAGGAAUCCUGGAGUGCUUAGCCAGUGCAGUGAGCUGCUCUCCACAGAUGUGUACGAAAGCACAAUCUCUCGGCAUUUGUGGGGACCCCGUCAGUGUCGGUUUCCUGCUGUUCGAAGCGCACCAUCCCCUCCUCUCCUGCCCCCGGAGCGACAACAGUGACUUUCUUAGGAGACGCAAAGGAAGAAGGUUCUCAAAGGGUGACCUGGAAACCCUGGUUGCUCACAGGUGGGCAUGCCCUCCCGGGGGCUCCACUGCUCCCUGCUGGGCUUACAGGAGAGGCUUCCGAGGGGACCCACAGGUGUCUGGCCCCCGGGUGGGCUUGGGCCACACUUCUGCAUGUGCACCACCGGGUGGGGGGUGGGGACUCCCUCCCUGCUUCUCCUUCGAGGAUUGCUGCCUUUCUCAGGUUUUGUGUCCAAGCCCCAGCUGAACCCUCCUCAGGGGGUCUCCACUAGUAGCACCCGGAGGGCGGGUCGCCAGGGUGGCAAGGCAGCUUCCUGGCUUUGCUAGGGAAUGGGAUGGAUGCUGUCCCCCAGAGCUUGGAGCCAGAGCAGUACGACUGGUGCCCUGCCCACCUGGAACUAGGGGAGUUCGUCCUGGGGAGGCCGUGGGAGGCUGCGAGGGAGGCGGGUGUUGCUGGCAAGGACAGGGAAGGAGGGAACAGGCCUCCCUGCCCUGCCCAGGCUUCCCCCCAGCGACCCACACGCUGCCCGGACACACCCUUCCUGAGCUGGGAAGAAGCACAGGCUUCAGUGGCCUUGAGAGCUCAGUGGUCCAUCCCCCCCUCCAUCCCCCUCCCUCCUCCCCUCCAUCCCCACCCUCCAUCCCCGCCUCACCCCACCCUCCAUCCCCACCCUCCAUCCCACCCUCCAUCCCCACCUCUCCCCACCCUCCAUCCCCACCCUCCAUUCCCUCCCUCCAUCCCCGCCUCACCCCACCCUCCAUCCCCACCCUCCAUUGCCCCCCUCCAUCCCCACCUCACCCCACCCUCCAUCCCCACCCUCCAUCCCCAC